rnacentral:rRNA from 1 species
GCUCACGGAAUGAUUUAUAAAAUUGUAUAGCUUUGAGGCCUGGUUAGUACUUGGAUGGGAGACCGCCUGGGAAUACCAGGUGCUGUAAGCU